GGUGAAAAGGAUGAAAACUGGGGUACAGAGAUUCAUGAUUUGAAAAUGCCAUCCAUUUCCUGAUUCACC